GUGCGAGACCGAUAGCGAACAAGUACCGUGAGGAAAAAGAUGAAAAGAACUUUGAAAAGAGAGUUAAAGAGUACCUGAAACUGCUGAAAGGGAAGCGAAUCGUAUCCAGUGUCUAUAAUCUGCGGCAUAUUUCAUUGGCGGCGGUGCGCGUGCUUUUGCGUCGGAAGCGGCUUUUGUUGCUCUGUGCUUUUGCUGUGCGUGGUGUUGCUGGUGCCCUGUGUUGCGGUGGGACGUCAGAGUCAGUUUGUAUGCUGCGGGAAAUGGCUGCCGAGGAGGUAGGUCGAGAUUUCGGUCUUGGCUGUUAUAUCUUGGUGGUUUGUUGUCGUGGUUGAGACUGAGGUGCCUACAAUGUGCUUUUGAGUGUACCGGGUUCUCAUUUGGUGGACUGUUUGGAUAGCUUGCCAUGCUUGUGGUUUUUUCAUCGGGUGAUUGAGUCUGGUGGUAACUUGUUGCUGUUCGGGACUUUGA
rnacentral:rRNA from 2 species